GUCUGCUUCCGGCCGUGUACGCAACGUGUAGGUGUGCAAUGGGCGAUGGGCCCAGACCCCUGCGCGCAUAGGGUUUAGAGCGGCGUGCUGACCUCUCUGUUGAGCCUAGGUGGGGCUGCGACGUGUUGAUCUUCCGAGGCCGGGCAUGACCCAGAAAAGUGUGUCCGGCCAAAUGGGAUCGAGCGUGUUGGGUUAUGUGGUGCACCCCUGCAGGGAAGUUUAUCUAUUCGAAUAGCCGUGUCCCUCGGUAAAAGGACGACCCGGAGUUGUACCUUGACCUUAUGACAACUAGAACCGGAUACUUAAUAAAAUACACCCUUCCAAGUGCCAGAUACAACCCGGUGAUCGCUCUCUAACAGGGCAACGAGGAGGGGAUCGCCGGGUAGGAUUAUGCUAUGCGAUGCUACUUGGAGGACUUCAAUCUACUCUCUUCUACAUGCCGCAAGAUGGAGAUGGCCAGAAGCGUAGUCUUCGACAGGACUAGCUAUCCCCCUCUUAUUCUGGCAUUCUGCAGUUCAGUCCACUGAUAUGGCCCUUUACACAUAUACCCAUGCAUAUGUAGUGUAGCUCCUUGCUUGCGAGUACUUUGGAUGAGUACUCACGGUUGCUUCUCUCCCUCUUUUCCCCCUUUCCUUUCUACCUGGUUGUCGCAACUAGAUGCUGGAGUCCAGGAGCCAGACGCCACCGUCGACGACGACUCCUACGACACUGGAGGUGCCUACUACUACGUGCAGCCCACUAACGACGACCAGGAGUAGUUAGGAGGAUCCCAGGCAGGAGGCCUGCGCCUCGUUCGAUCUGUAUCCCUGUUUGUGCUAGCCUUCUUAAGGCAAACUUGUUUAACUUAUGUCUGUACUCAGAUAUUGUUGCUUCCGCUGACUCGUCUAUGAUCGAGCACUUGUAUUCGAGCCCUCGAGGCCCCUGGCUUGUAUUAUGAUGCUUGUAU
rnacentral:rRNA from 1 species